AUCAUGUUAUUCAACAACUUAGUUUAUUGAUGAAUUAGACAAAAACAUUCAGACUAUGUCAAUAUGUCUCUUGUUUUGAAAUAUUCAGUCAUAUAUGUCUUGUUUUGAAAUAUUCAGUUAUAUAUGUGUCUUGUUUUGAAACACUUGUCUCCUGCUUUGAAACAUUCAGUCUAUGUCAAUGUCUUGUUUUGAAACAUUCAGUCAUAUAUGCGUCUUGUUUUGAAACAUUGUCUAUGUCAAUGUCUCCUCCUUUGAAACAUUCAGUCAAUGUC